GAUGAACGCUGGCGGCGUGCCUAAUACAUGCAAGUCGAGCGAACGGACGAGAAGCUUGCUUCUCUGAUGUUAGCGGCGGACGGGUGAGUAACACGUGGAUAACCUACCUAUAAGACUGGGAUAACUUCGGGAAACCGGAGCUAAUACCGGAUGAUAUUUUGAACCGCAUGGUUCAAAAGUGAAAGACGGUCUUGCUGUCACUUAUAGAUGGAUCCGCGCUGCAUUAGCUAGUUGGUAAGGUAACGGCUUACCAAGGCAACGAUGCAUAGCCGACCUGAGAGGGUGACCGGCCACCCUGGAACUGAGACACGGUCCAGACUCCUCCGGGAGGCAGCAGUAGGGAAUCUUCCGCAAUGGGCGAAAGCCUGACGGAGCAACGCCGCGUGAGUGAUGAAGGUCUUCGGAUCGUAAAACUCUGUUAUUAGGGAAGAACAUAUGUGUAAGUAACUGUGCACAUCUUGACGGUACCUAAUCAGAAAGCCACGGCUAACUACGUG
rnacentral:rRNA from 1 species